AGCAGGUUGCAAUUACAGUGCUUUCUUUUGUGGAAGUACUGACAUUAUCCUGCU
ensembl:snoRNA